GACGAACGCUGGCGGCGCGCUUAACACAUGCAAGUCGAGCGAGAACCAGUCCUUCGGGACUGGGGAAAGCGGCGAACGGGUGAGUAACACGUGGGUAAUCUGCCCUCGGCACUGGGAUAGCCCGGGGAAACCCGGAUUAAUACCGGAUAGCCUUUCGAGCCCUCGGGCUCGUCAGAAAAGGUGGCUUCGGCUUCCGGCUGAGGAUGAGCCCGCGGCGGAUUAGCUUGGUGGUGGGGUAAUGGCCUACCAAGGCGACGAUCCGUAGCUGGUCUGAGAGGACGAUCAGCCACACUGGGACUGAGACACGGCCCAGACUCCUACGGGAGGCAGCAGUGGGGAAUCUUGCGCAAUGGGCGAAAGCCUGACGCAGCGACGCCGCGUGCGGGAAGAAGGCCUUCGGGUUGUAAACCGCUUUCAGGAGGGACGAAGCCACUCGGGUUAAUAGCCCAGAGGGUGACGGUACCUCCAGAAGAAGCCCCGGCUAACUACGUGCCAGCAGCCGCCGUAAUAC
rnacentral:rRNA from 1 species